UGCGUAGGGGGCAAGCGUUAUCCGGAUUUACUGGGUGUAAAGGGGGCGCAGACGGCAAUGCAAGCCAGGAGUGAAAGCCCGGGGCCCAACCCCGGGACUGCUCUUGGAACUGCAUGGCUGGAGUACAGGAGGGGCAGGCGGAAUUCCUAGUGUAGCGGUGAAAUGCGUAGAUAUUAGGAGGAACACCGGUGGCGAAGGCGGCCUGCUGGACUGUGACUGACGUUGAGGCCCGAAGGCGUGGGGAGCAAACAGG
rnacentral:rRNA from 1 species